rnacentral:rRNA from 1 species
GCUGGCGGCUAUGGGGCGGGUGGUCACCUCUUCCCAUCCCGAACAGAGAAGUUAAGCCCCGCACCGCCGAUGAUACUGGCCUCGAAACCGGUAAAGUAGGUAGCCGCCACAA